CUUCUGUGUGCUUUGUGCCAGUCACAGAGGGUGCUCUCAGAAAUAUGUGAUGCAUUGAACUGAAUUCAGUUUAAAUCAGGAAUACUAAGCCAUUUGGCUUCCUCCUUUUCCACAAGUCAAUAAAAUGGCAGCUAACCUAGUUGUUAUUUUUCAGGUGCUCUCAGCUGAGUGUGGCAAAAAGCCAGUUUACUUCCAGGAAAUCUCAGCACUUGACUUUCUGGAUUCAGAUUUCUAAACACUUUUAAAAAUAAGAGCACUGCCUGAUAUGGGUCAUGACUUUCCUUUUGAUUCCAAGUUUGCAACAUCUGUACUGACAAGGUAUUUGAUUUCUGCUAAUCCAUAGGAAAACUUCAACCCACUUCUCCUAGAGUAGGUAUCUGACAAAUGAUUACAUGGAAAAAGAGGAGAGUGGAAAAAGUUGGCUUAAAACUCAACAUUUAGAAACGAAGAUUGUGGCAUCAGGUCCCAUCACUUCAUGGGAAAUAG